UACGGGGGGGGCAAGCGUUGUUCGGAAUUACUGGGCGUAAAGGGCUCGUAGGCGGCCAACUAAGUCGGAUGUGAAAUCCCCAGGCUCAACUUGGGAACUGCAUCCGAUACUGGAUGGCUUGAAUUCGGGAGAGGGAUGCAGAAUUCCAGGUGUAGCGGUGAAAUGCGUAGAUAUCUGGAGGAAUACCGGUGGCGAAGGCAGGUCUCUGGGCAUUAACUGACGCUGAGGAGCGAAAGCGAUGGGGAGCGAACGAGG
rnacentral:rRNA from 1 species